rnacentral:rRNA from 1 species
UACGUAGGGGGCAAGCGUUGUCCGGAAUUACUGGGCGUAAAGGGCGUGUAGGCGGCCGAUCAAGUCAGGUGUGAAAUUCCAGGGCCCAACCCUGGACGUGCACUUGAAACUGGUUGGCUUGAGUGCAGAAGAGGAAAGUGGAAUUCCCAGUGUAGCGGUGAAAUGCGUAGAUAUUGGGAGGAACACCAGUGGCGAAGGCGACUUUCUGGUCUGUAACUGACGCUGAGGCGCGAAAGCUAGGGGAGCAAACAGG